GGGCGCUUAGCUCAGCUGGUUUAGAGCGUCUCGCUUACACCGAGAAGGUCGGGGGUUCGAACCCCUCAGCGCCCA
rnacentral:tRNA from 1 species